rnacentral:ncRNA from 1 species
GCCGUCCUCGUCGAGUGGGAGAUGACUGUUCAGUGAACGUUAAGUGAGGGCAGUCAUGCUGAUCCACAGUACAAUCGCAUCAUGCAGUCGCAUUGCGACUGAUUUUUGAUGCAAUUUUUGAAACC